UUUUCUUCAAACCUCAUCCUAAAAUACGUGAAAAAACGUUGACUUCUAAUGAAUCUAAAAAUUCAAAAUUUUAUAAAUAUUCAAUAUAUUUAUUCAAAAUUGCGUAAUUUUAUACGCUGCGUCUGAAUCCUGAGUACUUUUUGUGGUGUAUUAGCAGCUUCUAGAGGGUAAAUAAUAUAACUUUGCUUUGUAACUUGUUUUUCAAUGUACACUGACUAAACCCAAACAAAUCACUGGAACUGACCAAAUGACCAAUUCCAUACAACCUUCAGGACCGAUAUUUAGUCAUAUUAAUUCACCACAACCUGUUCAUUUUGCAUCCAAAAGCUUCGCAAUGGAUACUUGGCUUGCCAAUCAAGUCUGAUCGAACGGGAUUCGAUGUAGUAAAACCACCAAGUAAAAAACCUAGUAAAAAACCUUCACUUCGUAAUACUAGCUAUAGGUUUUUGCCCGGUUCAGCCGCCAUCUUGGAUUUAUCAUGCAGGUGACGCCUCCCCUA